rnacentral:piRNA from 1 species
UAAAGACGGAUGCCAGGAGAGAGACCC